rnacentral:rRNA from 1 species
AGUGAACGCUGGCGGUAGGCCUAACACAUGCAAGUCGAGCGGCAGCACAGUGAGAGCUUGCUCUUACGGGUGGCGAGUGGCGGACGGGUGCGGAAUACAUCGGAAUCUACUUUUUCUUGGGGGAUAACGUGGGGAAACUUACGCUAAUACCGCAUACGACCUACGGGUGAAAUCAGCGGAUCUUCGGACCUUGCGCGAUUGAAUGAGCCGAUGUCGGAUUAGCUAGUUGGCGGGGUAAAGGCCCACCAAGGCGACGAUCCGUAGCUGGUCUGAGAGGAUGAUCAGCCACACUGGAACUGAGACACGGUCCAGACUCCUACGGGAGGCAGCAGUGGGGAAUAUUGGACAAUGGGCGCAAGCCUGAUCCAGCCAUACCGCGUGGGUGAAGAAGGCCUUCGGGUUGUAAAGCCCUUUUGUUGGGAAAGAAAAGCAGCAGGUUAAUACCUCGCUGUUUUGACGUUACCCAAAGAAUAAGCACCGGCUAACUUCGUG